AUAUAAUUAUUGGUGUAUCCAUACUGAAAAUGUGCAAAGAAAAAACUGCAACAAAUACACACCAAAUGCACUAAAUUGUGCAACUAUGUGCAAUAAUUCUGCAGCACAUUCGCAAUGAAAAUUGACAUGCUGCAGAUUUAAAAGGUAAAACUGCAAUGCAGUAAAGCAUUAUGCGGUAACACAGCAAAAAAAAAAAAAAAAAUUUAAAACCCGAACUGGGCUUUGAAAUAAAACAAAGAACAAUGAUGUUCUAUAAAUAGAGAAUGGAAUAUUUUGGUUGGUAGGAGGGGUAGACAGGAUGUGAUAUAGGUGACAUAUAACUAAGAUAAAUGUCUAUCCUCUCCUGCACUACUGAAAGGACCUUUACACAGAACACGGAGCGGAGACCCAGAUAACUGAAGCAUGGAUGUCAUCUUCCCAUUUAUCUUCUAUGGGAUACUACUAAUAGGGAGAAGUAAUGCCCAGUCUGUGAACCAGACAUCAGCUCCUCAGCUUGUCCUCCAAGGAUCUCCUGUAUUCCUGGAAUGUACAUAUAAGGUUUCUGGAUAUCCUUAUCUUUUCUGGUACGUGCAGUAUCCUGGUAAAGCUCCCGUUCUUCUAUUACAAGGCUUGGGAAGAGAAGAGAACAAUGGUUUCAGUGCCACACAAGAAACAAAGAAUCCUACCAUAUGAGGAAAACACAAGCUGAAGUGACUGACUCUGCUCUAUAUUUCUGUGCAGCGAGUGACACAGUGAAUACCGCCCAUAACUCACCUGUCACAUAACUGUGAGAUCAGAUCCUCUUCUUUCCAGACAUUCAGAAUAAAAUCGGCGAUUGCAGAUUGUUUAUAGAAGUAUUACUUGCAUUGAAUUGAUUUGUCUUUUGUGUAACCCCCUAGCUUCAAAAAUUCUAUACUUUUGUAUUUAUUAUAUUAUAUUUCAUUUAAACAAAAUAUUUUUUUGGAAAUAAAACCAAUAAUGACAAAUAACAAACAAAAAAACAUUUUGUGAUGGGUAUUAAAGAUGUAAAUGUCCAC